AUUUAUACUGUAUAUAAACAUAAAUAUUAUUUAUGGUGCCAAAUCAUAACAUUAGUUAUCUCAACCAGAAUCAUUGAGUGCAGCCACAGUCUAAAGGUCAAUUGGCAGCACUAGUGUCAGUGUUCAGUUUUUUUUGGGAAGGUGUUGCCUUUUUUCCAGAUUAGAGCAAUAGCCCCUCCAAAUGUCUGUGCACGUCCCUGUUUAUUAUGCACAUGUG